rnacentral:rRNA from 1 species
GAGUUUGAUCGUGGCUCAGGAUGAACGCUGGCGGCGUGCCUAAUACAUGCAAGUAGAACGCUGAAGCUUGGUGCUUGCACCGAGCGGAUGAGUUGCGAACGGGUGAGUAACGCGUAGGUAACCUGCCUGGGUAGCGGGGAUAACUAUUGGAACGAUAGCUAAUACCGCAUAACAGUAGAUAUUGCAUGAUAUCUGCUUGAAAGGU